rnacentral:rRNA from 1 species
GACGAACGCUGGCGGCGUGCUUAACACAUGCAAGUCGAACGAAGUGGCGAACGGGUGAGUAACGCGUAAUCAACCUGCCCUUCAGAGGGGGACAACAGUUGGAAACGACUGCUAAUACCGCAUACUGAAGGAGGGGUUUGCGUCUGAUUAGCUAGGUGGAGGGGUAACGGCCCAACAAGGCGAUGAUCAGUAGGGGGACGGGGAGGAUGAACGGCCACACUGGGACUGAGACACGGCCCAGACUCCUACGGGAGGCAGCAGUGGGGGAUCGUCCGCAAUGGGGGUAAGUCUGACGGAGCAACGGCGCAGGAGUGAUGACGGCCUUCGGGUUGUAAAUCUCUGUUAAUCGGGACGCGGUACCGGAAUAGAAAGCCACGGCUAACUACGUGCCAGCAGCCGCGGUAAUUC